rnacentral:rRNA from 1 species
ACUGGGACUGAGACACGGCCCAGACUCCUACGGGAGGCAGCAGUGGGGAAUAUUGCACAAUGGGCGCAAGCCUGAUGCAGCAACGCCGCGUGAGGGACGAAGGCCUUCGGGUUGUAAACCUCUUUUAGCAGGGAAGAAGCGAAAGUGACGGUACCUGCAGAAAAAGCGCCGGCUAACUACGUGCCAGCAGCCGCGGUAAUACGUAGGGCGCAAGCGUUGUCCGGAAUUAUUGGGCGUAAAGAGCUCGUAGGCGGUUUGUCGCGUCUGCUGUGAAAAUCCGAGGCUCAACCUCGGACCUGCAGUGGGUACGGGCAAACUAGAGUGCGGUAGGGGAGAUUGGAAUUCCUGGUGUAGCGGUGGAAUGCGCAGAUAUCAGGAGGAACACCAAUGGCGAAGGCAGAUCUCUGGGCCGUAACUGACGCUGAGGAGCGAAAGCGUGGGGAGCGAACAGGAUUAGAUACCCUGGUAGUCCACGCCGUAAACGGUGGGAACUAGAUGUAGGGACCGUUCCACGGUUUCUGUGUCGCAGCUAACGCAUUAAGUUCCCCGCCUGGGGAGUACGGCCGCAAGGCUAAAACUCAAAGGAAUUGACGGGGGCCCGCACAAGCGGCGGAGCAUGCGGAUUAAUUCGACGCAACGCGAAGAACCUUACCAAGGCUUGACAUAUAGAGGAAAAGUGUAGAAAUACACUCCCCGCAAGGUCUCUAUACAGGUGGUGCAUGGUUGUCGUCAGCUCGUGUCGUGAGAUGUUGGGUUAAGUCCCGCAACGAGCGCAACCCUCGUCCUAUGUUGCCAGCACGUAAUGGUGGGAACUCAUGGGAGACUGCCGGGGUUAACUCGGAGGAAGGUGGGGAUGACGUCAAAUCAUCAUGCCCCUUAUGUCUUGGGCUUCACGCAUGCUACAAUGGCCGGUACAGAGGGCUGCAAUACCGCAAGGUGGAGCGAAUCCCAAAAAGCCGGUCUCAGUUCGGAUUGAGGUCUGCAACUCGACCUCAUGAAGUUGGAGUCGCUAGUAAUCGCAAAUCAGCAACGUUGCGGUGAAUACGUUCCCGGGCCUUGUACACACCGCCCGUCAAGUCAUGAAAGUCGGUAACACCCGAAGCCGGUGGCCCAACCUUUUGGAGGGAGCUGUCGAAGGUGGGAUCGGUAAUUAGGACUAAGUCGUAACAAGGUAGCCGUACCGGAAGGUGCGGCUG